rnacentral:rRNA from 1 species
GACGAACGCUGGCGGCGCGCCUAACACAUGCAAGUCGAACGAGCGAGAGAGAGCUUGCUUUCUCAAGCGAGUGGCGAACGGGUGAGUAACGCGUGAGGAACCUGCCUCAAAGAGGGGGACAACAGUUGGAAACGACUGCUAAUACCGCAUAAGCCCACGACCCGGCAUCGGGUAGAGGGAAAAGGAGCAAUCCGCUUUGAGAUGGCCUCGCGUCCGAUUAGCUAGUUGGUGAGGUAACGGCCCACCAAGGCGACGAUCGGUAGCCGGACUGAGAGGUUGAACGGCCACAUUGGGACUGAGACACGGCCCAGACUCCUACGGGAGGCAGCAGUGGGGAAUAUUGCACAAUGGGGGAAACCCUGAUGCAGCGACGCCGCGUGGAGGAAGAAGGUCUUCGGAUUGUCAACUCCUGUUGUUGAGGAAGAUAAUGACGGUACUCAACAAGGAAGUGACGGCUAACUACGUG